GGAUAGCUCAGUUGGCUAGAGCGUGGUACUGUUAACACCAAUGUUACAGGUUCGAUUCCCAUAUGGGACA
rnacentral:tRNA from 1 species